rnacentral:rRNA from 1 species
GCAAGUCUACUUGAUCCUUCGGGUGAUGGUGGCGGACGGGUGAGUAACGCGUAAAGAACUUGCCCUGCAGUCUGGGACAACAUUUGGAAACGAAUGCUAAUACCGGAUAUUAUGUGAGUUUCGCAUGAAAUUCAUAUGAAAGCUAUAUGCGCUGCAGGAGAGCUUUGCGUCCUAUUAGCUAGUUGGUGAGGUAACGGCUCACCAAGGCGAUGAUAGGUAGCCGGCCUGAGAGGGUGAACGGCCACAAGGGGACUGAGACACGGCCCUUACUCCUACGGGAGGCAGCAGUGGGGAAUAUUGGACAAUGGACCAAAAGUCUGAUCCAGCAAUUCUGUGUGCACGAUGAAGUUUUUCGGAAUGUAAAGUGCUUUCAGUUGGGACGAAGUAAGUGACGGUACCAACAGAAGAAGCGCCGGCUAACUACGUGCCAGCAGCC